rnacentral:rRNA from 1 species
AGAGUUUGAUCCUGGCUCAGAUUGAACGCUAGCGGGAUGCCUUACACAUGCAAGUCGAACGGCAGCGCGGGCUUCGGCCCGGCGGCGAGUGGCGAACGGGUGAGUAAUGCUCGGAACGUACCCAGUAGUGGGGGAUAACCACGCGAAAGCGUGGCUAAUACCGCAUACGCCCUUAGGGGGAAAGGGGGGGGAUCCUUCGGGACCUCUCGCUAUUGGAGCGGCCGAUGUCGGAUUAGCUAGUUGGUGGGGUAAAGGCCUACCAAGGCGACGAUCCGUAGCUGGUUUGAGAGGACGACCAGCCACACUGGGACAUGAGACACGGCCCAGACUCCUACGGGAGGCGGCAGUGGGGAAUUUUGGACAAUGGGGGAAACCCUGAUCCAGCCAUCCCGCGUGUGCGAUGAAGGCCUUCGGGUUGUAAAGCACUUUUGGCAGGAAAGAAAUAGGCCUGGCUAAUACCUGGG